UGAAAAAAAGGGGGGGAAAAGUAAGUGAAUGUGGCUUCAAAAUUAAGAAGAGAAGCGAACAAAGCAACGCAAUGAAGACAAGGAGGAGGAGGAGGAGAAGAAGAGAGGAAGAAGAGAACGAUCAAGAAAAGAAAAAAGACAACGGUUGGGGCAAGAUGGACGAGGGAAGGAAGAAGGAGGAGGUUGUCAGAAUUAUUUAGUACACCAUUCUUUCCACGCCUCGCCGUUAUAUAUAUUUAAGAAGGAUGGAAGAAUGAGAAGGUUCCUGGAAUUGUCAUUUUCAAGUCAACGAAGAAGAGAAGAUGAAUGUUUCCUGAGAGUGACAAGGACAAGACACUACAAGGACGAGGACGGAUCGGUGGCUUGAUUUCUUCGUCAAGCAUCCAUCCAUCCCCGCCAAUGUGUCUCCCCGGCCUCGGCGUCGCUCACUCGAUAAUCAGGCGAGCGAUCUGUUACCUGGAGAAGCGAACGGCAGCAGCCCGCUGGCCGUGGCUGUGUGAGGACGCGCCGUCGAACGUACCGACAGGGAGGGAAUUCCACCUCUUUGAUGCGCCGGAAACAAAAGGACUCAAAGCCUUUACUGGGGAAACGAAUUCUUUACAAGUCGUUUCAUGAGGACCGAAACAUCAUCGUUUGUGCUGAAAUCAAAGCAUCUUCAAUCUAACAGAUGAGUAAUGUUUUUUUUUUGUUGUUGUAAUCUCCACACAACGCUUUACUUUUUAUCAACUUGAGUAUUAUUAAGAUAUUUCCUCUAGUGAUGCAUCUAGGGAAUCACGCAUAAAGAGUCCAGGGUCCAUAUUCUCAAACAUUUGGGUCCAACAAACUCCCAUAUGUUAAGGCUUUUGUAGACGUGGUGGGUAUUUACAUGGAUAGUUUUAUAGGCCUAGUGAUAAAUAAUUAUGAUUCUGAAGCAAGAACUGAAAAAAAAAAUCUUAUGAGAGCCCGACUAAUCUCCUUUGUGGCCUUUAUUUGUUGCGAGAGCCGAAACCGUGAGAAUUUGGGACCAUUGAGUAGCCUUUUUUCCGCAUCGUGUUCACUGCUGCCAACUUCAAACGGCAAGGUUCGCGGUUCCCUUUUGUGUCUUGUUAUAAAUUCAUCCACUUACAUAAAAUCCUUCCAAUCAACCAUUCGUGUAGUGUGUUCCUCCUCAGAAUCAGCAACGUGCCCGUAGAAAUGAAGUUUGUGGUUUGUGUACUGCAGGGAAAUCGUAUGACGGUGAUCUGCAAAAGUUCAUGAAGUGAUAUGCUAAAAAAAUGAGUCGCAGCGUCUCAACAAAUAAUAAACGAAACACCAGAGGGCGCAAAUCUGUCAAGGGGCUUUUGAAUAGAACGUGAGCAUUAUAUACUUGAAAUAAAAACGUUGCCACCACAAGAAAAGUUCGCCGUACAUUGUCAUAUGAAUAAAAUUUCUUUCGGCCUUACUUCUGCGUUUCCUCGCACCGCUACCGCCCCCGCCAACAUUACAGGAAUUACUUAAGUCACCGCUUGGCAUUGUUCGGGAUAGAAAGAAGCGUUCCCUUGCCACCUAUUUCAUUAGCGACGAAGGGAAUGGGUGUGGCAGUAAAGCUUAGACAAUGUUUGGAAGAAUAAGAGAGGGUAAUGAAGCUGUGGCGCGUGAGGGGAGGAGGAGGAGGAGGUGAGGGUAAUGGAGAGGCUGUUUUGUGUUGUUGUGUUGUGUUGCGUCUGAUUUUGCCAUCCGUCUUUAUUCUCCUGCUUAGACAGAACGACGAGGUAAGUAAACGCCGGAGGAUGGUGAUAUUAAAGCGGAGGAAGAGGAAAACAAGGAGGAAGGGGAUAGGAGAUAAUAAAAAGAAUAAAGAAUAUUAUAAAAGUAGGAGGAUCGUGCUAAUGAGAAAGAGGAGGAGUUGGAAAAAAAAGGAGGAAAAAGAGAAUCAAGGAAGGAAAGAGGAGGAGGAGGAGCGUGAAGAAGCAAUAAUAAAAAGAACGGGAAGAAGCAGGAUACAAUUAAUUAUAAUGAUACGAAGAAGAAGAAAAAAGUAAAAAGAUUAUAGUGUGCCAAUGAGGGAGAUAAAGGGUUAGAAGAAAAGGAACAAAAAUAUGAAAAAUAGGAAUAAAAAUGAGAAGAAGAAAGCGAUGAUGAUGGUGAUGACGAUAAAAAUGAUGAAGAAAAUAACAAAAGAGGGAAUACGAGAUGCUGUAUAUGGAUAACGUGUUCUUCUUUGUUCCUCUCCCUCCUCAUGUUCUCGCAUAACGCACUUGUUUCGCUGCUUGAAAAUUCAUUGGCAAGGACAGAACAUACACUCAAAAAAGAUAAUAAUGAUAAUAAUAAAUAAAUAAAUAAAAUGAUAAAAAAAUGAAAAUAAAAAUAAAAUAAACAAAUAGAUAAAUGAAUAAAUAAAUAAAAUAAAAUAAAGUAAAAUGGAUGAAUAAAUAAAUAAAUAAACAACGAAUAAAUAAAAGGAUGUGAGUUCUUAGUUCAAAAAUUUGUGAUUGGGUGGACGGGUGUCUGUCUUAUUCUUCACUGCCCUCUGUCUGUCUUCCUGUUUCUCUGUCUGUCCAUCUUCCUGUGUGUCUGUCUGCCUGUCUGUCUGUCUGUUUGUCUGUGUCUUAAUCUGUGUUCGUGUCUGUCUGUCUGUCUGUCUGUGUCUUAAUCUGUCUUUGUGUCUGUCUGUCUGUCUGUGUCUUAAUCUGUCUUUGUGUCUGUCUGUCUGUCUGUCUGUUUCUUUAUCUGUCGUUGUGUCUGUCUAUCUAUCUUUCAUUCGAACCCAGUCUGCUCUCUAAACUUUGUCCAAUGAACCUAUAAAAGAUUGUUAAGUGAAGUCUCCUGCGAUUAGUUCUCUCUCUCUCUCUCUCUCUCUCUCUCCUUCUUCUUCUUCAUGUUUAGUUUAUAUCUUAGUCGUCCUUAUUUUCAUUUCUCUUUCAAUUUUAUCGCUUUCAGUUUUCCUUUCUCCUUGCAUUAUUUUCUUUCCCUAUUUUUUUUCUCAUUAUCAAAAGUCGCGCGUCUUAUUCUAAUUAAUUCGCCCCUCCUUCAUUACCGUAUCUUUUUCUCCUCGUUCUCGCUUUCUCACUUAUCUCAGCUCAAGACUUUGGGUGCAUGUAUUUUUCUAUCCCCUCAUUAUCGCCUCCUCCUCCUCCUCCUCCUCCUCCUCCUCCUCCUCCUUCAAGUCCUCCUUAUCUCUUCGCCUCGCCCCCUGUCCUCCCCUAUCUCUAUCUUCUCUCAUUAACAUUUCAGUCUCUUAUCUUGACUUACUGCCGAUUUGAGACUGACUUUAAACUUUUUUUUAUUCCCGCUCAUUUUGCAAAGCCUCCGUGGCGGGCCGAGGCUGGGGACGCGGGAUGGUUGUUUGGCGGUGUUCAGCUGUUAUGGUUUUCUCUUAUCGGGUUAUUAUUAAAAGCAUCUAUUUUCUUGUUAUUUUUUUCUUAUUUCUAGUUAUUAUUGUCAUUAUUAUUAUUAUCUUUAGCUUCACUACUACUACUUCUAAUCUGCAAUCGGUUAUGAAAUUACCUAAAGACUGUGAUAUGGCCAGAAAAAUCAAGUACGAUAUUUUGUGACGCAUUAAUUAAUUCCAAUGCCAGAAAAAAAAAUAUGCACCGACUGAACGAAUAAGUUUCAUCUUCAUUGCCGUCAUUAUUUUUGCCGCUGCGUUUCUAAAUUGCAGCCAAAAACGAAAUGAAAAUCGAGCGAAACUGCAGCCAUCAGACAGAAAUUUGGCAGGUUUUUUUUUUUUCUGCGUACUGACAAUAAGAAAAAAUACAGUACAGUACGUGGGUGCGUUUGUCACUAUCAUUGUUGCUGUUCCUUUCUCUGUACUUCCUUCCAUUCACGCGGACAAAAAAAAAUAUACACAACAAAAAUGAAAAGGGAAUGGAUGUUGCGAAAUAUUCCGGCAAAACAAAACAGAAACAUCGAAAAAAAGUAAGCCACCGAAUAUGCAAAGAUGAAGUACUCCAUCAGUUGUGUUCAGAAAAAAAUAAUAAUAAUAGAAAAGAAGCGAACAGAAUGAUGUACAGCAAUGGUAGGAGAAGGAGGAUUAAGAGAAGGAGGAGGAGGAGGAGGAGAAGGAGGAGGAGAGAAAGGAAGGCAAUAUACGAGUAAAAGGAAAAGGAUAAAAACGUCAAUUGAAGGAAGAUGAGAUGAAGGAAGAAAAAAAAGUUGCAAUGGAAGAAGAUUAGUGUAGAAGGAAUGAGAUGCUCGACACUAGAAAACAAAGGCAGAAUAGAAGAAGGAAGAGGAAGAGGAGAAGAAGAAGAAGGGGAGAAGAUAAUAUAAACAAAUACCGUCGAAUUCUGAUACGCUUCGAUGUAUUAAUUUUGCUUCCUCAAAAAUACUAAUGUAAGAAGAAAAAUGUGAAACUGGUCGGGGAUUUGCUACACCGACGCUCCUCUGCGGAAGUAAUAAAAGUGCGGAAGAGUUUUAAUUUAUGAACUCGAGCGAAAGCCAGUGUGGAGAACGCCAUUAAACGCUCCGAGGCCCGUGUGAAGGAUAAUGAACGCCUCAUGUAGGUCGAGGCAAUAGGUUUGAGUGGAUUGUUAUUUAGUUAUUAUUAUUAGGAUCAAUGUGCUGGAUUGUAUUUCUCUUCUUUAACUGAAUAUUGUUUGAGUGUGUGUUUUUAAUUGUAUCCGACACGAUGAGGUGAGGGAUCUGACUGCCAGCAUGCUCGGGGAGGUAUGCCAAGACGUCACUACCGAGCCGGCACCUUAGAUACAAAACGGCCAAUACCUCACAUGAGGCACGGGUUGAUGUAAGUGCACGCGGAUUCUGGGUGCGCGGACAGAAGGCAGUCAUGGACGCAUAUUCGACCCGAUGGCUGCCUGUUACCGUGAGCUGCCCCUGGAAGCCGCCCACCACAAGAACGAGCAGGAGAAGACAAGGGCAUACGGAGAAAGAAUCCAGCAUGUGGAUCAGGGCACCAUCACUCCCCUAGUCUUCACCACAUCCGGCGGGAUGGGUCCCAGGGCCCGAUGCGGAACUCAGAAAAGAAGCAUCAGCCAAGGAGCCACGUUGUCACCUGGAUGAGGUGUCGCCUCUCGUUCUCCCUGCUCAGGUCGGCCAUCCUAUGUCUCAGGGGCACCAGAUACUCUGGCCCCAAAGCCACCGACAUUUCCAAUAUGGACUAUGAGGCCACAGUGGUAGAGAGUGACAUUAGGAUGGGUAGGGAGCGACAUGAGUAGGGAAGGAAAGGGGGAUCUAGACGCAAUAGAUGAUAAGGUGUUAUGUAUAGAUUUAGUGCUAAGUCGUAUUAGCGAUAUGGAUGGAUGCCAAAGUCAUUAGCGAACAGAAUUGGGGCUAAUGACCUCCAAUUUAUGGAGCCCUCCAUGAUUAUGUGUCGGGAAAAUAAACAUGGGUGGAGGUAUCUUUUUAGUAGCACAACUAGUAGUAGUAGUAGUAGUAGUAGUGCUAGUAGUAGUAGUAGUAGUAGUAUAGUCUGUUUCAUUUCAUCUGUCCACCAACAAAGCGGGAAUUUUGAUGGAUGCGGCACCUGCGCAUUUCUAGUUCUUGAAUACGUGAACAUUAACUGUUGUGAUAGACAUUCAAGCUAUUUUUUAAAAAUAUAUUUGAACGUUUAUGUAUACAAAAAAACACCCAGUCAUUUGCAUCGAUAAUCUAACAUACAAGCACACGAAAAGACAGCCUUGUAUCAAACAACAUAUUCAUAUCAUGCUCGAACGAUCUAUGGGUUUUCAAAUUCAUAUAAUUCAUCUCACUUCAGGCUUAUUAAAAUACAUCUGGCUCUGCAAGUGCAAAUAAAGGGUACUUUAAUCAUUUACUGCAUGUAAAUAACAAUUAAUAUUCAAAAUAACAUGAAAUAGUUAAUAAUAGGCUAACUGUUGAAUGUGAUGCUAGGCUAUUUCGAAUAUUAUCCAUGUAUUAACACGCAACACAUAAAAACUCCAUAUGUAUAGACACUUGCAGAGCCAGAUAUCACUUUAUGUACCUGAAUGAGAUGAAAUGAGUAUCUGAAAGGCUAUAAAUCGUUCGAGUAUGAUCAGACUAUACUUUUUGAUAUACAAGUUGUUCUUUCGUGUGCUUGUAUGAUAAAUUAUAUUAUUGAUCCAAAUCGGCAUGUUUGCGGUUCAUAUAAAAAGUUUUUUGUAUACACAAACAUUCAGGUAUAUAUCACUGAAAAUAUAAAGUUGAUCUUCACGCAGUCACUAAUUAACAAUGCGCGGGUGCCACAUCGACGUUCACGAGUGGACAGACGGAAUGAAACGGACUAUAGUACCAGUGGUAGUUAUCGUAAUAGUAGCAACACCAGCAGUUCUUGUAUUGUUUUGUUCGUUGUUUUUUUUCAUUGUCUUCAUCUUUCAAACAAGCUCAUGUAGAACGCACAACACUAAACGCACAUCGCCCAAUCCUCUACAGUCUACAGUGUCUACACCGUCAUUCUUCCAUUCACUCCACGAGAGAAAAAAAGGAAACUAGAAUUACAUAAAACCCUUUGUAUAUCGUUGCGCUGCGUGGACCCAGUGUUGUCGCGCUGUAUUGGCGGGUUCGUUCAUUUAUUAAUUCAAUUAUUUCGGCCGAAACUAAUGAAAAGAAAAUGGGGCUGAAGGGGGACCUUGUGAAGACUGACUCGCUCAUUACCUUUAUUUGAUUAUUUAAUUAGUUGUAUUAAUAUGUAUCCACAUGGUUAUUAGUCUUAUUUGUGAUUUAUUUUAUCUAUGUUUUACUUAAAGAAAAGAGAAAAAAACGGAGGCAUAAGUAGGAAUAGAUAGUCCAUAUGCCAGCCUUACCUGGAGCCUUUUAAGGGCAUCAAACAUUAAUUUUGUGAUAGCUAUACAUGUAUCUGCAACUCAAAUCCUCAUGAUGGACUUAUGAUACCUACAGCUAAACCUUAGUAGAACACACAAUAUACAUGAUUAUGAUAGAAAAACUCUACAUUUUCCAGCUUAUGAAAACCGUAUUAACUUCAUAUGUAGACAUGUACUACUUUUUUUUAUCUCACCAGAAAAAUACAAUAUCUUCAACCAUCCACUUAUCAGUAUUAUUGGUGAACUACAAGGUAUUUUUUAGUGCAGAAAAAACAUUGGUCAGCGUGAAUAUAAAAUAUGUGUAUGGUUAAGUGCAUUUAUGUACAUGUGCAGGUAUGCAAGGUACACCAAACUCUUUGACAAUGCAC